rnacentral:lncRNA from 1 species
AUAGUCAUCCAUUUCUCCCCAGAAUAUCAGGAGAAUGGCCAAUCAAGGUUCAGAUGUGAACUCUGGGUCCACUGGGAGAAAACAAGCUGGAAGGUAUUUGCAAAAAUGUACUGCUCUGUAGAAUGCAAGACUUGGACCAAUUGGCAAAGGCUCUCAGUUUCUUGUGGAUCAAACUGCUGUUUUGAUUCUUGAAUGGAGUUUGUGAGUGGAUGGAGCUGCUGCUACUGAUUCCUGGGAAGUGAACUGCUGAUACCCGGACAAUGCAGAUUAUGUGAGCUCCAAAGAACUACUUCUAAAGAGGUCCACACCC